GUGAGGAAUAUUGGUCAAUGGGCGGGAGCCUGAACCAGCCAAGUCGCGUGAAGGAAGAAGGAUCUAUGGUUCGUAAACUUCUUUUGCAGGGGAAUAAAGUGCAGGACGUGUCCUGUUUUGUAUGUACCCUGAGAAUAAGGAUCGGCUAACUCCGUGCCAGCAGCCGCGGUAAUACGGAGGAUCCGAGCGUUGUCCGGAUUUAUUGGGUUUAAAGGGUGCGUAGGUGGUUUGAUAAGUCAGCGGUGAAAGUUUGCAGCUUAACUGUAAAAAUGCCGUUGAAACUGUCGGACUUGAGUGUAAAUGAGGUAGGCGGAAUGCGUGGUGUAGCGGUGAAAUGCAUAGAUAUCACGCAGAACUCCGAUUGCGAAGGCAGCUUACUAAGCUACAACUGACACUGAAGCACGAAAGCGUGGGGAUCAAACAGGAUUAGAAACCCGUGUAGUCC
rnacentral:rRNA from 1 species